rnacentral:tRNA from 1 species
CGCGGGAAGGGUGUUGGUUCCCAGUCGAGUCUCAUAAACUCGAUUACGCGAGUUCAAUUCUCGCUCCCGCACCCA